rnacentral:sRNA from 1 species
GCCAGGUGCAGUGGCGCAUGCCUGUAAUCCAAGCUCCUCCUUGGGAGGAUGAGGCAGGAGGAUCACGAGUUCAAAGCCAGCCUAAGUAAUAGUGAGACGCUAAGCAACUCACUGAGACCCUGCCUCUA